GAAAUGCGAUAAGUAAUGUGAAUUGCAGAAUUCAGUGAAUCAUCGAAUCUUUGAACGCACAUUGCGCCCGCCAGUAUUCUGGCGGGCAUGCCUGUCCGAGCGUCAUUUCAACCAUCAAGCCCCUGGGCUUGUGUUGGGGACCUGCGGCUGCCCGCAGGCCCUGAAAACCAGUGGCGGGCUCGCUGUCACACCGAGCGUAGUAGCAAUCACCUCGCUCAGGGCGUGCUGCGGGUUCCGGCCGUUAAACAGCCUUACAAAAACCAAGGUUGACCUCGGAUCAGGUAGGUAGACCCGCUGAACUUAAGC
rnacentral:misc_RNA from 1 species